rnacentral:lncRNA from 1 species
GAAAUGCUCUCCUCUCCCUUGAACUGAGAGGAAGGAGGAGAGGCAGGAAGGAGCAGAAGUUCGUACUAACCAUUUGGCAAAUAAGCCAGGAAGACCUGAAUCCCACCACAGCCAGAUGCAACUGAGAACUUCAGGCCUUUGUGGAAAUUGCAGAAGCUGAUCAGAUCCACCUGCUAAUAGGAAACUGCCUUCUGUGCUGUGCCCUUGUGUAUCCUCAUCUCCUAAGAGGAGGAAGUACCCAACAAGGACCUGUGAGAACACCUUUUCUUUGUUUCACUUAAUCCCAAGCCUCAACAAAUGAGAAGUUGGUCCUUGGUACUUUUCCUUUUGGUUUCCCUAGAAUUGAUAUCAGAAACUGAAGAGAUGAGGCUUUCAUAGAACAGCCACCUCCUCCUUAAGGACUCUGAAAAGAGACCCACAAGCCAGGCACCUGGGGACUGCACAGACCAGGCCUCCUAGGUCUGAGCUGAAUGGGGAACAUGGGUGUUUGACUUUGGAUUCUACUCAACCAUCCACUAGUUUACGGCAAUUAAAAAGAAAACAAACACUGUUUACAGUAAGCAAUACUUGAAGAGUGUAGGUUUAAAAAGCAGCAGUAUUUAUUAUUAUAUUUUCUUUUCUCUUGUGCCUGGAGAGGGGAGGCCAACCUUCACUCAUAACCAGAAGCCCCUGACCAACUGGGCAUCUGCGUUUGCCUCAGUAGAAAUGACCAUCAUCUCUGUCUGUCAUGAAACCAUGGAUGUGAAAGUGUAUUACUUCUGAGAAGGCACCUGUUCGUCCCUCUGUCUCCUGAUACCUAAUGCCAUAGAUGGCCAGCCUUCCUGAGUAUAGCUUCCAAGCAGAGGCCAAGGCUCCAUCCUUGGGCCCAGAGGCAAGCUCUGUUGUAGCAGGACAAGAAAUUCAACUGGUAAGCCCUCAGGGAAUUUAGUCCUCCUGCCUUGGGAUGACCCCUAGCAGCCAACUCCAACAGCUUUGCAAUUAGCAUCUGUUUCUAGGGAGGAGGACAAGAGGAUGACAAAGGGUGGGCAUGAGGGAAUGGUGAACAUAUGUCCCCUAAGAAGGCAUAAAUCUGUUUUUUAAGGGGUCAGGAAUGCCAGACUGGAAAAUGGGGCUGGGAAAUGGAGCUAACUAUCCCAACAGAGACUGGCCCUGGGUUACUUCCUUCACAAUUAACUCAGGCCUCAGCUGAUUUUUCCAGUUGAUUCCAGUAUCUGAGAUUCUGCUCACCAGAUCUGACUGCCUGCACAGGGCAAAGAAGAAAAGCCAAGAAGGCGGCUUCCAUGGAAUGUAUAUAUCUUCAGAUAGCUGUCUCACAUAUAGCUGAAGCUGUCUGGGCUGUUCAGCUUGUUUCUUGCCUGAAUGCAACUGACAAGUGGAGAGAGAAAAGCAUUCAGCAAAAUACUCAGGAAACUUGCUGAUUUUAUGAUGAUUCACAACCAGCCAUGCCAAGGCCACUUUUCUUCUGAUAAUCUACUCAUGUUAAAGUUUUCGGGGCCAUAUUAAUAUCCUGGAAAAAAAAAAAAACUAAUGACUGGCCUUUCACACCAAGCCAAAGUGUUUGCUCCUCAUAUCACCCAAAGCUUAUCAUCUUAGAACUUAGAAUUUUGAAAAUGAAAGAAAUGAUAUAGUCAAAACAAGAAUAGGAACAGAAGACAGGAUAACUCUGGCUCGCCUUUUUUUCCAUCUCAGCACCGUUAAAGACUUUCUGAGCAGCUGCUACUGCUCAGGCUGAUGUCGAGAGUGCUGUUCAUC